rnacentral:rRNA from 1 species
GAUGAACGCUGGCGGCGUGCCUAAUACAUGCAAGUCGAGCGAAUGGAUUAAGAGCUUGCUCUUAUGAAGUUAGCGGCGGACGGGUGAGUAACACGUGGGUAACCUGCCCAUAAGACUGGGAUAACUCCGGGAAACCGGGGCUAAUACCGGAUAACAUUCUGAACCGCAUGGUUCGAAAUUGAAAGGCGGCUUCGGCUGUACCUUAUGGCUGGACCCGCGUCGCAUUAGCUAGUUGGUGAGGUAACGGCUCACCAAGGCAACGAUGCGUAGCCGACCUGAGAGGGUGAUCGGCCACACUGGGACUGAGACACGGCCCAGACUCCUACGGGAGGCAGCAGUAGGGAAUCUUCCGCAAUGGACGAAAGUCUGACGGAGCAACGCCCCGUGAGUGAUGAAGGCUUUCGGGUCGUAAAACUCUGUUGUUAGGGAAGAACAAGUGCUAGUUGAAUAAGCUGGCACCUUGACGGUACCUAACCAGAAAGCCACGGCUAACUACGUGCCAGCCGCCGCCGUAA